AGUGAACGCUGGCGGUAGGCCUAACACAUGCAAGUCGAACGGCAGCACAGGAGAGCUUGCUCUCUGGGUGGCGAGUGGCGGACGGGUGAGGAAUACAUCGGAAUCUACUUUUUCGUGGGGGAUAACGUAGGGAAACUUACGCUAAUACCGCAUACGACCUACGGGUGAAAGCAGGGGACCUUCGGGCCUUGCGCGAUUGAAUGAGCCGAUGUCGGAUUAGCUAGUUGGCGGGGUAAAGGCCCACCAAGGCGACGAUCCGUAGCUGGUCUGAGAGGAUGAGCAGCCACACUGGAACUGAGACACGGUCCAGACUCCUACGGGAGGCAGCAGUGGGGAAGAUUGGGAAAUGGGCGCAAGCCUGAUCCAGCCAUACCGCGUGGGUGAAGAAGGCCUUCGGGUUGUAAAGCCCUUUUGUUGGGAAAGAAAUCCAUCUGGUUAAUACCCGGGUGGGAUGACGGUACCCAAAGAAUAAGCACCGGCUAACUUCGUGCCAGCAGCCGCCGUAA
rnacentral:rRNA from 1 species